CUCCCAAGGAGGAAGGAUCUCUAUCUGGAGAUCACUUCUCUUGGAGCCCUUCUGCGAGCAUAGGAUAUGGGUAAAAUUGAGGGGAACUCAUGAUAUGAAGCUCCUGGGAAGAGGGAGGUGCUAAAUACUGUCAAGAGCAGUUUUUAUUGAUGUAAAUCCAGGCGUGGGGCCUCCAAAAAAGAAGAACAUGGAGCUGCUGGAGUGAGUCUAUAGGAAGGUCUCCAAGAGCAGCUAGCAGAAUACAAGACCCUCCAAGGACUGAAAUUCAGUAUGUUAUAAAGCCUGUGAGCCAAGACCACAUCCAUCACCAUGGUUCAGCAGAUCUUCCUGUGUGCAUCUUCAGGCUUUGGACAAGCAUGGGUCUUUUCUUGCUUUGAGAACCUCAUCCUCCUUACAGAAGUGCUGACCGAGUGCAGUUCGGUGUACUCUUUACAGCAGGAGGCACUGUGACAGUUUAGGAC
ensembl:lncRNA